CACCCAACAGCUAGCCCAACACAUCAAAACCAACAAACCCCUAUUUAUAAACCCAAAGCCCCUAAUCAUAACAAAACAAACCAUUUUUCCCCCUUAGUAUGGGCGACAGAAAAGGACAAAGGCGCAAUAGAGAAAGUACCGCAAGGGAAAGCUGAAAAAGAAAUGAAACAAAUCAGUAAAGACAAAUAAAGCAGAGAUGACCCCUCGUACCUUUUGCAUCAUGAUUUAGCCAGCAAAGACCGAGCAAAACGAAUUUUAGUUCGGCCCCCCGAAACUAAGCGAGCUACUCCGAGACAGCCUAUUGCAGGGCCAACCCUUCUCUGUGGCAAAAGAGUGGGAAGAACUCCGAGUAGAGGUGAUAAACCUACCGAGCCUAGUGAUAGCUGGUUGCCUGGGAAAUGGAUAGGAGUUCAGCCUCUUAGAUUAUACCCUCACAUAGUCCUCAACCCUACCGACUAAAAGAAACUAAGAGAGUUAACUAAAGGGGGUACAGCCCCUUUAAAUAAAGAUACAACUUUAACAGAAGGUUAUAGAUCACAAAUACCAAGGACACCUGUUCUAGUGGGCUUAGAAGCAGCCACCUAUGCAAAAAGCGUUAAAGCUUAGACACCUCCUUAUUCCCAGAUCCCGAUAACACUAUCUUAACCUCUGCACAAUACCAGGCCGCCCUAUGCACACAUAGGGGUGACCAUGCUAAUAUGAGUAAUAAGAGGGCAUGCCCCUCUCCUCGCACAAGUGUAAAUCGGAACGGACCCCCGCCGAGAAUUAACGGCCCCAAAAGAAAGAGGGAAUUAGACUAACCAUCCGCCAACUAGAAAAACACCCAAAUAUAACCGUUAACCCCACACUGGUGUGCCCCAGGGAAAGACUAAAAGAAAGAGAAGGAACUCGGCAAACCCAAGCCUCGCCUGUUUACCAAAAACAUCGCCUCUUGCAAA
rnacentral:rRNA from 1 species